UCAUAGUGAUCCGGUGGUUCUGAAUGGAAGGGCCAUCGCUCAACGGAUAAAAGGUACUCCGGGGAUAACAGGCUGAUACCGCCCAAGAGUUCAUAUCGACGGCGGUGUUUGGCACCUCGAUGUCGGCUCAUCACAUCCUGGGGCUGAAGUAGGUCCCAAGGGUAUGGCUGUUCGCCAUUUAAAGUGGUACGCGAGCUGGGUUUAGAACGUCGUGAGACAGUUCGGUCCCUAUCUGCCGUGGGCGCUGGAGAACUGAGGGGGGCUGCUCCUAGUACGAGAGGACCGGAGUGGACGCAUCACUGGUGUUCGGGUUGUCAUGCCAAUGGCACUGCCCGGUAGCUAAAUGCGGAAGAGAUAAGUGCUGAAAGCAUCUAAGCACGAAACUUGCCCCGAGAUGAGUUCUCCCUGACUCCUUGAGAGUCCUGAAGGAACGUUGAAG
rnacentral:rRNA from 1 species